UCAGCCUGCUCUUUGUCAUGGCAGUUUCCUGCGGCGUAGCUAUGAUGACCAGCCACGCUCGCCUCACGCAUGAGGCGGUACUAAA